AUUAAGUAGUUGUUAUAGAAAUUAGAAAUAUUAAUAACUUCUAACAUCUAUGUUUUUUCAGGAUCUCCACAACUUCUGUUCUGUUUCUCUGAUAUCCACUAGCAAUAACAUUGCUUCUGCUGCGUAAAGCGAGAGGAAGUAUCUGCCCAGAUGUUCUCCCCAGCUGCAGCUUUGCUGGCUGAGAUGGGAAAAAUGGAAACCUGCAGGCCAAGACAAUAACCCGUGGGACACCUGCAGUCACUUUGGACCCAUUCACAUCUCAGUGAGCAGUUUGCCAAGGAGUGUGUGUGGGGUUUUCAGGUAUAAGAACAUUUACCCACAAUGCAUGAACUUACCAAUGCAGCGUAGAGCGGUUUCCAGCUACAGAUUAUUUUGUAAUAUCCCCUGCAGCAAGAUGUAA
rnacentral:lncRNA from 1 species